CUUUCCCUCAAUCUCGCUAUCCGUUUACCGCACAUACACUACCCAUUCUUGUUUUACCAUUUCACACUUUAUGAAAUUUGCUUUGCUUUGCUUAGCUACUUUACUCUACACCUCACUACUGCCUCGCUACUCUUGUUUAAUCAGUGUAAAAGUAAAAUACAAGUAUUUAUUGUUUUCUUUCAUUAUCAAGACACAAGGAGUUGGGAUAUGAUCAAAGGAACUCAAUCCCAUAUCAACCAACACAAAUAGAAUUUGCAUAAAUAAUA